CAGUGUAAUCAUACGAGCCUUUAAAAGCAGAAGAGGAAGUAGGAAGAGGAAAGCAGAAUGGAUGCAGCAGAAGAGGGAGUCAGCGAGGUUCCAAGAGGCAAGAGCAAAAAGAUGUUGAAGAGUAUGCUAAUUUAUACUUGCUAAUGCAUCACACCUGGUGUAUCCCAAUGAGUGGAGAAAAAAAGUUUAAAGGAGCAGCUGCCAACUUUUCAGAAACACGAUCACCUUCCCUCCUCCUGCAAACAGUAGGUACCAUUAUUUUCUCCAAUUUACUGAUGAAAUAGAGGCAGAAAAUGGCUCCGUAAUUUGCUCAAGUAUUUCGUUGCUCAGCUAGUAAAUGGCAAAGCUGGAACAUGAACUACUAACUUGUACACUCUCCUGCUUCUCCAGAUACACUGAAAAGAGGCAGGCGGCACUGUUCGUGAGAUGCAUGAGCUUUGCACUGUGGUCCAGCACAUCUCUGUUGUAGGCUUCCUCAUGCCUGAUCCUGAAAGGGUCACUCCUACCCUUUCCAAAAACCACUACAGGUACAGCGGGACACUAAUCCCUUCAGGUUCACCUGAUGUUAGGGACCAAAUAAAAGCUUGGAAAGG
rnacentral:lncRNA from 1 species